GGCUUGUGGUUGGCUGGUGGUGGAGGUGUUCGUUGGGAAAAGAGAGGAGUAAGAAGGAGAAAAGAAUUUCAAAACUAACCACGAAUUCGGACUCUUCCAAGAUUGGUGGGUGAUCCAAUUCCCUCUCCUAGGGAUCUCUCUCUAACCUUUCUCAAGCUCUCUCAAUAACUCAAAGCACGGGAAAAAUCUUUAUCAUUCAUUCAUUAACUUUAGAAGAAGAACAAGAGGGCUAUAAAUAGCCUCGUACAAAAAAGGACUCAAAGAUAAAAGAUGACCUUGCCCUUAGGGCUUACAUACGACUUCCAUUAAGCAAGGGGUAAAACGGGAAAAACAAUUACAACAUAAAUAACAAAUAACAAAUAACAUAAUAAAACAAAUACAUAUAAUAACUCAAAACACAUCGACUCAAUCGUGACCAUAUAUCGACGGCCACGCCUCAUAUAUUCUUUUCAUGCUUUGAUGUCCCCAUCACAGCACUUAUAUGUUUUCUCUUAAUUUUUUGAAUCCAACAACUACCUCCAGCGUCUUGCAGAUGUUGAAUUCCCUAUCUUUUCUUUUUAAUAAAUAAUCCAUGUAUCAUGUAAUACAGAAGCUCAAGGUUGAUAAAGCAUAGAGGAAGGACAGUGGAAGUGCAGGUGCAAUGGCAAUGGAUACCGAAUUACCUGUGCUUGAAAUUAGAAGUUGCUGCUUCUAUCAAUUAUUUGGCAAAAGUUGGGGUUCGGCAAAAGACCGAAUAACUGAUAACAAGAGUGACAGUCGUGUAGGUGAAGGAGCCAAUUUUCAAUAUUGGUGCAACUCAAGAUGACCAUUCUAAAAUUUUAAGAUUACUUCAUA